GCAGAGCGGGAACCCGGAAAUGCGAGGCGCAGACAAAUUGAGGAAGCCAAUACGCUGCGAAGAGGAUGGCGGGCCGGCCAAUGGAGAGUCGCCGAGGGCGGGGCCACGGGCUGACGGCAAAGGUCUCCGGAGCCGGCGGCCAGCCGAGACUGCGAGUGCUGAGAAGGCGACAGCAGAGCAGGGCCCGGUAGUGGCGCGAGGUUGUCUGGGAAUUGACUUGCUCUCUGUGCAUCAGUUUCUCUCGUCUGUAAAGUGGAGCCUAGGGGCUGCUUUCCUCCGUGAGGUGGUGAGGGAUCCUGCCACUGUGGACAUGUGCAAGGGGCCCACCCCUGGGUCCAGAUGACACUCAUGUCGAUGGCUUCAGUGAUGGCAGUGACUGAACCAAAAUGGGUCUCAGUCUGGGGCCGCUUCCUGUGGGUGAUACUGCUGAGCAUGGCGCUGGGCUCCUUGAUGGCCCUGCUGCUGCCGCUGGGGGCCAUGGAGGAGCAGUGUCUGGCUGUCCUCAAAGGCUUCUACCUGCUCAGGAGCAAGUUGGACAGGGCCCAGCCUACUGUCACCAAGUGCACCAGACCAUCCACGGAGCUCAGUGUCACCUCCAGGGAUGCAGCACCGCUGGUGGUCAAGACCAAGGCCUCUGCAGCCAGCAAGUUAGAAGCCAAAGCAGCUUUGAACCAAGCCCUGGAAAUGAAACGCCAGGGCAAGCGGGAGAAAGCCCACAAGCUCUUCCUGCACGCCCUCAACAUGGACCCGGGCUUCGUGGACGCGCUCAAUGAGUUCGGCAUCUUCUCAGAAGAGGACAGGGACAUCAUCCAGGCUGACUACCUGUACACCAGAGCACUGACCAUCGCGCCCCACCACAAGAAGGCGCUGGUCAACCGCGACCGCACGCUGCCGCUGGUGGAGGAGAUUGACCAGCGGUACUUCAGCAUCAUCGACAGCAAAGUGAAGAAGGUCAUGUCCAUCCCCAAGGGCAACUCGGCACUGCGCCGGGUCAUGGAGGAGACGUACUACCACCACAUCUACCACACAGUGGCCAUCGAAGGCAACACUCUCACCCUCUCAGAGAUCAGGCACAUCCUGGAGACCCGCUACGCCGUGCCGGGGAAGAGCCUGGAGGAGCAGAAUGAGGUCAUCGGCAUGCACGCGGCCAUGAAGUACGUCAACACGACGCUGCUCUCCCGCAUCGGCUCUGUCAGCAUCAGCGACGUGCUGGAGAUCCACCGGCGGGUGCUGGGGUACGUGGAUCCCGUGGAAGCUGGCCGCUUUCGCACGACCCAGGUCCUGGUGGGCCACCACGUCCCGCCCCACCCUCAGGAGGUGGAGAAGCAGAUGCAGGAGUUCAUACAAUGGCUCAACUCGGAGGACGCCAUGAACCUGCACCCGGUGGAGUUUGCGGCCCUGGCCCACUAUAAACUCGUCUACAUCCACCCCUUCAUCGACGGCAACGGCAGGACCUCGCGCCUGCUCAUGAACCUCAUCCUCAUGCAGGCGGGCUACCCGCCCAUCACCAUCCGCAAGGAGCAGAGGUCCGAGUACUACCACGUGCUGGAGGUGGCCAACGAGGGCGACGUGAGGCCGUUCAUCCGCUUCAUUGCCAAGUGCACGGAGACGACCCUGGACACCCUGCUCUUUGCCACCACAGAGUACCCUGUGGCACUGCCAGAGGCCAGACCCAACCACUCUAGGUUCAAGGAGACGCUGCCUGUGAAGCCCUAACGCUCUAAAUCCUCCCUUGGUGGCAAAGGAUGUCCCGGGGGGGAAUAAAUCCAAGAAACUCAGCAAUUCUAGAAACCUGGUCAUCUCCCAGAGUAAAAGAAGAUGGGUAAGAAACCUAAACAUUCUUUACCUCCAAAUGCUUCUUUAAAGAAGAAAACUAAGUUAUUAAGCCUCGUCCCUAAGAUAACUUAUAAUUGAGCCCAGUUAUUUAUUUCCCUCAGAGCUGGUUAAUGUGUGCUGUCUGUGCUGGUGGCCCCGAUCCUUGGGGUGGCCCCAGCAGGCUUUGGGGGCAUCAGUGCUCCUUGUGUGACCAGAACACAGGUUCUGGAGCAGAAUCUGCACUGAGGUGGGGUCCGGAGGAGUAACCCCUUGCAGCCCUUUCUGGAACCGGCCGCGAGGGUCUGUGACUACCUGAGAGAAGUCCGCACGGCUGAGGAGAACCCGGUCGCAGUUGUGAGAAGUGACUGAAAGCUUCCUUUCGUACAGGCGUUGGCUCCCCUACCAAGAGAACGGGCCUCUCUGCAGGGAAGUGGAUGGCCGGCCACCCCAGAGAACACAGGUUCUUCUGACUGCUCCACAGCCGCUGCUUGAAUUCAAAAACACCUAACGUUCUGUGCAGAAGAUAAAGAUGAGGUACAGAGAACCUAUCAAUUAAAAAACUUAUUUACAAAACAACAUGAAAUUGGAGAUCUGCCUGGAUGGUUGAUAACAUUAAGGUAUUACUGCUAAUGUUUCUAGAAAUGAUAAAAACCAAGGCCUUUAAGUCCUUAGAGAUACGUGCUACAGUAUUAUUAGGUGACUAUCCCUCCAGAACACAGGAUACAAGAGGGGCAGGAGGUGGAGAUGAAGACGGGCUAUGAGCUGAGCAAUGCUGAAGCUCGAUGACAGGCACACGGGGCUUAGUUUACUACUUAUCUGUUUCAAUUGUUAAGUUAAAAAAUAUAGGAAAGCCUGAAUGAUGCAUAAAACCUUUAGAAACAGAUAAAUGAGCUGAUUUUCGUGACAUAGGAAAGAAUUCCGAUUUUUUUCCCCAGAGUGCCUUUUAUAAAGUCAGUUUCCCUACUGAACUGCUCACUUUCAAAGCAAUAAAUACUGGAUAAAAGAUGUGGGUAAAAAAGCUUGAAAGCUGUUAAGUGCCAAAAAGCUUGAAAGCUGUUAAGUGCCAAACUGCUGUAAACUGAAGUUUAAAACCGAAGAUAUCACAGCAGAAAUGGUUUAAAUCAAAGUGCCAAGCGGAUUUGACUUACAAAAGUUCUAUUUACACACCCAUUAGGUAAACCAAGGUACACCCAUUUCAAAAUACAUAUUUGAAUGCACACCUGAGUACCUUUCGACAAGAAGUUUUUAAGAGAACUUCAGUUUAAUAAACAAAGCUAAAUGGGGAGAAUUUAAGUUUGCACUUGACAAUGCUAUUUAAACAAAACCAUAGGGCUGAAACUCAGUAUUUAGACAAAGACACAGUUCACUAGUCACUAGGCAAAGAAAAACGUCCAUAGCAGAUGGCGCACAGAAUUCCUAUACAAAUGUCACAAGUAUUUUGCUUUUAGGAAACAAAACAGUGGGUUGACGUGUCAUUUACAAAUACGUAAUAUAAAAACGCACCGCCCCCGUGAACAAAAGCCCAUCAGAUGUUUUAUGUGAUGCCCCUUGCCCCACCCCUUUACUAA